CCCUUAGAUGUUCUGGGCCGCACGCGGGCUACACUGAGUGGAUCAGCGGGUCAGGUUGCGCGAAAGCGUUUCCUAAUCUUUAAAUCCGCUCGUGAUGGGGAUUGACGGUUGCAAUUUUCUGUCAUGAACGAGGAAUACCUUGUAAGCGCGGGUCAUCAUCCCGCGCUGAAUACGUCCCUGCCCUUUGUACACACCGCCCGUCGCUCCUACCGAUUGAGUGGUCCGGUGAGGCUUUGGGAUCUGAGCGGAAAGAGCGUUUCGCUGUUUCUGCUCGGAAAACUCAGUCGAACCUUAUCAUUUAGAGGAAGGAGAAGUCGUAACA
rnacentral:rRNA from 1 species